UACGUAGGGUGCGAGCGUUGUCCGGAAUUAUUGGGCGUAAAGAGCUCGUAGGCGGCCUGUCGCGUCGGUUGUGAAAGCCCGGGGCUUAACCCCGGGUCUGCAGUCGAUACGGGCAGGCUAGAGUUCGGUAGGGGAGAUCGGAAUUCCUGGUGUAGCGGUGAAAUGCGCAGAUAUCAGGAGGAACACCGAUUGCGAAGGCAGCUAGCUAGACCGACAUUGACGCUGAGGCACGAAAGCGUGGGGAUCAAACAGG
rnacentral:rRNA from 1 species